rnacentral:lncRNA from 1 species
UUGAUUUCGUGAGUCUAGUUUGUUUGUGCAAAUAAAAAAAGCUCAGUACACAGAUUGAGAGAGUCAAUCACUUCGUUCCAUCAUUCCACAAGAUUGAGAGAUUCAAUUAAACCUUCAUCCGCAAAUCUACUUCAAGUUCAUUCCUUGAUCAAGCUGAGAGUGAUACACAUCCAACAGAUUAAUUCCGACUUAUCUAUCCUUACUCUUUCAUUUCAUUUUUAGUAACAUCAGCAUCUCAUUCAUUUUCCAUUUGUUUCAGGUUUACAAGCCGGAUUCCAUUG